CUUCCAGGCCCAAGCAGCUCUCCCACCUCAGUCUCCCAGUCUGGCUAAUUUUUUUUUAUUUUUUUAUUUUUUGUUUUUUAUAGGGAUGAGGUCUUGCUUCGUUGCCCCCUCUGGUCUCAAACUCCUGAGCGCAAGCGAUCCUCCUGCGUCAGCCUCCCAAAGUGCUGGGAUUACAAACAUGAGCUGCUAUGCCCAGACCAUGGAGAAGCUCUCCUCCCUCUGGCCCAUGAAACCUUUCAGGAAUUUGAUGGAUCAGCUAUCACAUUCCCCUGGCCCCAUCCCCAGUUUGCUUUCCUCCAUGGAAGGAAGUAAUAUUUAAUAAGCAGCUACUAAGUGCUAAACUAAUGCAUUGUUUCACUUCACAUCACUACUCAGAAAGGUAAACACAGUUAUUAUCACCAUGUGACAAAUGAGAAGACUGAAGCUCCCCAAGGUUAAGUAACCUCCCUGAGGUCUCACAGCCAGACUGCAGAGUCCAGGGCCUUGUCAUAUUAUACCGAGCUAAUCUGCCAGUUUUGGUUUUUUUCACUUCGUCCACCAGAACAAAAUUUUGAGUUUAUUUAGCGUGUCUACAGGGUAGAGGCCAUUCUCCCAGCUCUCUGAGGAAGAAGGUGUCCAGGGAAUGCAGAGCUAGCAAUGAGUCAGAGCUGAGGGGAGCACCGGGCCAGGGCCUGCCGAGGAGCGGGGAGUGGAUAGGGUUUCGCUGGGUUCAAAUUCUCCCUCCUAGCUGUGUGGACUGGGGCAAGUCAGGCCACCUCCCUGAACUUCCGGUGCCUCAUCUGUGAAAUGUUUACAGAUGGUGAAAUUGGACUUUCAUUCAAGAUGGCAGACCAAGUACACAUAGAAACCAUUCUUCAAACACUUAGCAAUGACAGGAAAAUACCAGGUAUACAAGAGACCACUGCAGAGAUGCCCAGAGACAAGGGUUGAAGCCCCCCACCACCUACCCAUUAGGAGGCUAGUACCAAUGCAGGGCCCCCUAAUGUAUGAAGCCAAGAGCACAGGCUCUCAUAUACAGCCCUUACAAGAUACACAUGCAAGAAAUAUUCUGAAGAGACAAUGGAUUCACAACCACUUCAUGAAAUUUCCACAAACUCCCCAACUGGAAGAAUUUACGUCUGAGGAAAUAGAGAAUAAUAGUGCAACCUUAAAAGAAUUUUGCAAUAAAUAUAUUAAAAACUCAAAGAGAUAAAGAAGGGAAUAACAGCCAUAAACAAGAACAGGAGGCCGGGUGCAGUGGCUCAUGCCUGUAAUCUCAACACUUUGGG
rnacentral:lncRNA from 10 species